AUGGCACUGGAGUCGCGUAUCACCCGGGAGGCGAUCAAGAAGGAGCUGCAGAAGCCGGUCGACCGUGAGAAGACGUGCCCGUUGCUGCUGCGAGUCUUCACCACCACCGACCGACGCCACCACCGUAUGGACGAGUUCUCCCGCGGAAACGUGCCGUCCAGCAAGCUGCAGGUCUACACCUGGAUGGAUGCGACCUUGAAAGAACUGAGUAGUUUAGUGAAAGAAGUCUACCCAGAAGCUAGAAAGAAGGGCACACACUUCAAUUUUGCCAUCGUUUUCACAGAUGUUAAAAGACCUGGCUACCGAAUUAAGGAGAUUGGCAGCACCUUGUCUGGCAGAAAGGGGUCUGAUGACGCCAUCACCCUGCAGUCCCAGAAGUCUCAAAUAGAUUAUUUGGACAUAGCUAUUACCCCUCCAAACUGGGCACCACAUCCCCUGGGGCGCAUAGGACCAUAUUAAAUUAUAUUUACUAUUUCUUGAAUUUAUUUUUUGGUCAGUGAUGUGAAAUAAACUUACGUAACCUCCCCGUUAUUGCCAUUAAGCCUUUAAAUUCUAAGCAAAUUAUAAUGCAUCUAUUUAGGCAUUAGCCUUGGAUGUGCUGUGGUGUGAUCACUAAUAGAAAGUCUGUAUGUUU